AAACUAUAAGCAUUGACGAGGCAUUCGUAACUAUGAAAAGCAUGAUACUCUUGCCAAGAAUUCACUUAACACGAUUGUGGAUAACAACCUUCACUACUUGUGAAUAUAAGUUCAUAACGAUUAGGUGAAAUUCACUUAUAUUCUAGCAUCAAAUUCAUGCAUGUAAAUUAAGUAUGCAUCCUUAAUCGACAUACAAAAAUAAGUUAUCAAUCAAGCAGUUAAGCAAAUUAAAUCACAACUCAGAAAUCACAACUGAAGGUAAUCAAUUCAUAUUACAAAUAUAUUCAUGGUUUCGAAUUAACCUCUAGCCAAAUUAAAUUUAGUUACACAUUAUUUUCAAAUUAAACCAGAAAUUAAAACAUAAGUUGGAAAGAUUUAACCGAGAGAGGAGGGUGCUUGCUGCUUCUGUCUGUCUUCCUCCCCGAGGCUCACUGCCUUUCCCUGUCACGCUGCCCAAAGGCAGCAUUCUGAUUCUCCCUUCUAUCCACUGUCCGUGUCAGUCUCUCCUGCCUUUUUCUUCUCGCUGACCUCCACGCUGCCAAAGGCAGC
rnacentral:lncRNA from 1 species